GAGUAGUUCUAGGCCUGUAGGCCUAACAUUGAAUGGGACCAUCUUAAGAGUAGUCCUAGGCCUGUAGGCCUAACAUUGAAUGGGACCAUCUUAGAGUAGGUCUACGCCUACAAGUAUGUGAGAAAGCAACAUUGAAUAGGACCAGCUUAAGAGUAGUACUAGGCCUGUAGGCCUAACAUUGAAUAGGACCAGCUUAAGAGUAAGUCUAGGCCUGUAGGCCUAACAUUGAAUGGGGCCAUCUUAGAGUAGUUCUACGCCUACAAGUAUGUGAAGAAGCAACAUUGAAUAGGACCAGCUUGACAGUAGUACUAGGCCUGUAGGCCUAACAUUGAAUGGGACCAUCUUAGAGUAGUUCUACGCCUACAAGUAUGAGAGGAAGCAACAUUGAAUAGGACUAUCUUAAGAGUAGUUCUAGGCCUGUAGGCCUAACAUUGAAUGGGACCAUCUUAAGAGUAGUCCUAGGCCUGUAGGCCUAACAUUGAAUGGGACCAUCUUAAGAGUAGUUCUAGGCCUGUAGGCCUAACAUUGAAUGGGACCAUCUUAGAGUAGUCCUACGCCUACAAGUAUGUGAGGAAGCAACAUUGAAUAGGACCAGCUUAAGAGUAGUUCUAGGCCUGUAGGCCUAACAUUGAAUGGGACCAUCUUAGAGUAGUACUACGCCCACAAGUAUGUGAGGAAACAACAUUGAAUAGGACCAUCUUAGAGUAGUUAUACGCCUACAAGUAUGUGAGGAAGCAACAUUGAAUAGGACCAUCUUAAGUGUAGUUAUAGGCCUGUAGGCCUAACAUUGAAUGGGACCAUCUUAGAGUAGUUCUACACCUACAAGUGAGGAAGCAAUAUUGAAUAGGACCAGCUUAAGAGUAGUUCUAGGCCUGAAGGCCUAACAUUGAAUAGGACCAUCUUAGAGUAGGUCUACGCCUACAAGUAUGAGAGGAAGCAACAUUGAAUAGGACCAUCUUAGAGUAGUUCUACGCCUACAAGUAUGAGAGGAAGCAACAUUGAAUAGGACUAUCUUAAGAGUAGUUCUAGGCCUGUAGGCCUAACAUUGAAUGGGACCAUCUUAAGAGUAGUCCUACGCCUACAAGUAUGUGAGGAAGCAACAUUGAAUAGGACCAGCUUAAGAGUAGUUCUAGGCCUGUAGGCCUAACAUUGAAUGGGACCAUCUUAAGAGUAGUCCUAGGCCUGUAGGCCUAACAUUGAAUGGGACCAUCUUAGAGUAGGUCUACGCCUACAAGUAUGUGAGAAAGCAACAUUGAAUAGGACCAGCUUAAGAGUAGUACUAGGCCUGUAGGCCUAACAUUGAAUAGGACCAGCUUAAGAGUAAGUCUAGGCCUGUAGGCCUAACAUUGAAUGGGGCCAUCUUAGAGUAGUUCUACGCCUACAAGUAUGUGAAGAAGCAACAUUGAAUAGGACCAGCUUGACAGUAGGUCUAGGCCUGUAGGCCUAACAUUGAAUGGGACCAUCUUAGAGUAGUUCUACGCCUACAAGUAUGAGAGGAAGCAACAUUGAAUAGGACUAUCUUAAGAGUAGUUCUAGGCCUGUAGGCCUAACAUUGAAUGGGACCAUCUUAAGAGUAGUCCUAGGCCUGUAGGCCUAACAUUGAAUGGGACCAUCUUAGAGUAGUCCUACGCCUACAAGUAUGUGAGGAAGCAACAUUGAAUAGGACCAGCUUAAGAGUAGUUCUAGGCCUGUAGGCCUAACAUUGAAUGGGACCAUCUUAGAGUAGUACUACGCCCACAAGUAUGUGAGGAAACAACAUUGAAUAGGACCAGCUUAAGAGUAGUUCUAGGCCUGUAGGCCUAACAUUGAAUAGGACCAUCUUAGAGUAGUUAUACGCCUACAAGUAUGUGAGGAAGCAACAUUGAAUAGGACCAUCUUAAGUGUAGUUAUAGGCCUGUAGGCCUAACAUUGAAUGGGACCAUCUUAAAGUAGGUCUACACCUACAAGUGAGGAAGCAAUAUUGAAUAGGACCAGCUUAAGAGUAGUUCUAGGCCUGAAGGCCUAACAUUGAAUAGGACCAUCUUAGAGUAGUUCUACGCCUACAAGUAUGUGAGGAAGCAACAUUGAAUAGGACCAUCUUAGAGUAGUUCUACGCCUACAAGUAUGAGAGGAAGCAACAUUGAAUAGGACUAUCUUAAGAGUAGUUCUAGGCCUGUAGGCCUAACAUUGAAUGGGACCAUCUUAAGAGUAGUCCUACGCCUACAAGUAUGUGAGGAAGCAACAUUGAAUAGGACCAGCUUAAGAGUAGUCCUAGGCCUGUAGGCCUAACAUUGAAUGGGACCAUCUUAGAGUAGUCCUACGCCUACAAGUAUGUGAGGAAGCAACAUUGAAUAGGACCAGCUUAAGAGUAGUCGUAGGCCUGUAGGCCUAACAUUGAAUGGGACCAUCUUAGAGUAGUCUACGCCUACAAGUAUGUGAGGAAGCAACAUUGAAUAGGACCAGCUUAAGAGUAGUUCUAGGCCUGUAGGCCUAACAUUGAAUAGGACCACCUUAGAGGAGGUCUACGCCUACAAGUAUGUGAGGAAGCAACAUUGAAUGGGACCAUCUUAGAGUAGUUCUACGCCUACAAGUAUGAGAGGAAGCAACAUUGAAUAGGACUAUCUUAAGAGUAGUUCUAGGCCUAACAUUGAAUGGGACCAUCUUAAGAGUAGUCCUACGCCUACAAGUAUGUGAGGAAGCAACAUUGAAUAGGACUAUCUUAAGAGUAGUUCUAGGCCUGUAGGCCUAACAUUGAAUGGGACCAUCUUAAGAGUAGUCCUAGGCCUGUAGGCCUAACAUUGAAUGGGACCAUCUUAAGAGUAGUUCUAGGCCUGUAGGCCUAACAUUGAAUGGGACCAUCUUAGAGUAGUUCUACGCCUACAAGUAUGUGAAGAAGCAACAUUGAAUAGGACCAGCUUGAGUGUAGUUCUAGGCCUGUAGGCCUAACAUUGAAUGGGACCAUCUUAGAGUAGUUCUACGCCUACAAGUAUGAGAGGAAGCAACAUUGAAUAGGACUAACUUAAGAGUAGUUCUAGGCCUGUAGGCCUAACAUUGAAUGGGACCAUCUUAAGAGUAGUCCUAGGCCUGUAGGCCUAACAUUGAAUGGGACCAUCUUAAGAGUAGUUCUAGGCCUGUAGGCCUAACAUUGAAUGGGACCAUCUUAGAGUAGUCUACGCCUACAAGUAUGUGAGGAAGCAACAUUGAAUAGGACCAGCUUAAGAGUAGUUCUAGGCCUGUAGGCCUAACAUUAAUUGGGACCAUCUUAGAGUAGUACUACGCCCACAAGUAUGUGAGGAAACAACAUUGAAUAGGACCAGCUUAAGAGUAGUUCUAGGCCUGUAGGCCUAACAUUGAAUGGGGCCAUCUUAGAGUAGUUCUACGCCUACAAGUAUGUGAGGAAGCAACAUUGAAUAGGACCAGCUUAAGAGUAGUUCUAGGACUGUAGGCCUAACAUUGAAUAGGACCAUCUUAGAGUAGUUCUACGCCUACAAGUAUGAGAGGAAGCAACAUUGAAUAGGACUAACUUAAGAGUAGUUCUAGGCCUGUAGGCCUAACAUUGAAUGGGACCAUCUUAAGAGUAGUCCUAGGCCUGUAGGCCUAACAUUGAAUGGGACCAUCUUAAGAGUAGUUCUAGGCCUGUAGGCCUAACAUUGAAUGGGACCAUCUUAGAGUAGUCUACGCCUACAAGUAUGUGAGGAAGCAACAUUGAAUAGGACCAGCUUAAGAGUAGUUCUAGGCCUGUAGGCCUAACAUUAAUUGGGACCAUCUUAGAGUAGUACUACGCCCACAAGUAUGUGAGGAAACAACAUUGAAUAGGACCAGCUUAAGAGUAGUUCUAGGCCUGUAGGCCUAACAUUGAAUGGGGCCAUCUUAGAGUAGUUCUACGCCUACAAGUAUGUGAGGAAGCAACAUUGAAUAGGACCAGCUUAAGAGUAGUUCUAGGACUGUAGGCCUAACAUUGAAUAGGACCAUCUUAGAGUAGUUCUACGCCUACAAGUAUGUGAGGAAGCAACAUUGAAUAGGACCAGCUUAAGAGUAGGUCUAGGCCUGUAGGCCUAACAUUAAUUGGGACCAUCUUAGAGUAGUACUACGCCCACAAGUAUGUGAGGAAACAACAUUGAAUAGGACCAGCUUAAGAGUAGUUCUAGGCCUGUAGGCCUAACAUUGAAUGGGACCAUCUUAGAGUAGUCCUACGCCUACAAGUAUGUGAGGAAGCAACAUUGAAUAGGACCAGCUUAAGAGUAGUCCUAGGCCUGUAGGCCUAACAUUGAAUGGGACCAUCUUAGAGUAGUCCUACGCCUACAAGUAUGUGAGGAAGCAACAUUGAAUAGGACCAGCUUAAGAGUAGUCCUAGGCCUGUAGGCCUAACAUUGAAUGGGACCAUCUUAGGGUAGCUUAACACAGGACAGAAACUGCAGACUAAGUCAUCUACAUUCUCUUCAGGAAUAGAAUAAGAAUCUGCUCUGUCCUUGUUCUGACUGGGCUAACAGGAAGAGGACGCCAUCUAGGACCACAUCAGAGAAACAAACGGUUAAAUGUAUUCAAAUUAUAACCUGGGAUCAAUUUGAUUAAAAAACAAAUGACAUUCAAUUAAAAUAUUUGU